rnacentral:lncRNA from 1 species
GUCAAAAGACCAAUUAGUGGAAAAAAAAGACGUGUAAAUGCAGCCCAUGUUACUCUUUUCAACAGAUCUUUACCAUGUGACUUCACGUUUUUUUCUUGGAUUGCUGAACAUACCACGUCUCGUUCAGCGCUUUGACGUCCUGAGACAUACUGCUGAUGUAAUUGGGCAUCUGGACACCAGUGCAUUCUUGAACCAAGUAACUUGGUCUCACUCCUCCAAAGAUGGGGCCAGGACCACCUCCGAUUCCCUCCCUGGCAGCUUUGUGGUCGUAAAGCACAGGGCUCCCGAGUGGCGCAGUGGUCUAAGGGACUGCAUCUCAGUGCAAGAGGCGUUACUACAGUCCCUGGUUCAAUUCCAGGCUGUAUCACAUCCAUCUGUGAUCGGGUGUCCCGUAGGGCGGCGCGCAAUUGGCCCGGCAUCGUCAGGGUUUGGCCAGGACACGCAGUGUCAACCAAUGAACCAAAGAUGCAUGAGGGAGGGCCGAGCCAACUCACUCAGUCACACACUUAGCAGACCCGAGGAGAGAGAGGAAGGACAGCUGUGAAAACAACAGCUGGAAAAUGAGUCGGAAGCACAGUAGCAUUUGGAUGCAUUUUAAUAAUGUAGACAAUGUUAGAGCACAGUGUAGAAUUUGCC